rnacentral:rRNA from 1 species
GACGAAGGAUGCAAGCGUUAUCCGGAUUCAUUGGGUUUAAAGGGUGCGUAGGCGGCCUAAUAAGUCAGUGGUGAAAUCUCCUCGCUUAACGAGGAAACUGCCAUUGAUACUGUUGGGCUUGAGUACAGAUGCUGUGGGCGGAAUAUGACAUGUAGUGGUGAAAUACAUAGAGAUGUCAUAGAACACCGAUUGCGAAGGCAGCUCACAAAAACUGUAACUGACGCUGAGGCACGAAAGUGCGGGGAUCAAACAGG